rnacentral:lncRNA from 1 species
AGAACUAUUGUUUUAAAAAACAAGUGGUAUUGGUGCAGUCUUACUUGAAUAUCUUCCUUAUAUUGUGCUCCCUUUGCCGCCUUCACCUCGAAAAUGGCCUUUUAUUUUUGCAGAUAUGAUAGUAGCUUUGACUGCAUUGAAGGGAGUGCAUAUCUGCGAAUUCUUCAUCCAUGCCCAAAUAAACCAGAGAACUAUUGCUUUAAAAACAAGUGGUAUUGGUGCAGUCUUACUUGAAUAUCUUCCUUAUAUUGUGCUCCCUUUGCCGCCUUCACCUCGAAAAUGGCCUUUUAUUUUUGUCACAUUAUUUUAUGAUAUUACCUUAUGAAGUCCAUUCUUCGGGAUUGAGGUUUAGUUAACUGAUUGACUCUGUGAAAUAUACUACUCAAUAAUCUAGUACCGAUUGUUGUCUAACAGCCUCUCUACUUCGUCCGAGGUAGUGGUAUGGACUGCAUACAUUUUACCCUCCCCAGAUCCCACUUUGUGGGAAUACACUGGGUAUGUUGUUGUUGAAUCUAGUACUGAUUGUUAGUUUUAUUUGUUUUCUUUUUCUUUCUUUCUGUUCUUGGAUGAGAUAUUGCAAUCAUAUCCUUAGAACUAGCUGUACAGUGUAAUGCAGAAGCUAUGGGAUAAAAUAAGACAGAAUCGAGCAGUGAUUCAGUAUGCAAAACUAAUUUCUGCUGGAGCCAAAUCAAACUUAUGGGGGCUCUUAAAGAUCAAAUAGGGUUCUAAAUACUUAUGCUGCGAAGUCCACUCCACAAUUUAACCUUUCGUUAUUUUCUCUCAAUCUUGUCGAUCUGAAUUAUUUCGCAUAUUUCUCAUUCUUGACUGGCUAGUCUUGUUACCCAGGAGGUUUGAUUUGUUUUUCACUGAUAAAAAAGCAUAUCAAACAACUUUGCAUCUUCUUUCAUGCCCAAAUAAACCAGAGGGUUGUGAUAAUAGUAGAUUCAGCUAAACUAUAUUAUUUGCUCUAAUUGAUGGGAG